GUCGUAACAAGGUAGCCGUAGGGGAACCUGCGGCUGGAUCACCUCCUUAACGAAAGUGACUGGGUGAGAAUUCACAGCAAGUUGGUCUUGUGUUUUAAGAAGCUAACGUAGCGUAAGAGAAUAGCAAAGUCUUUUAGAGUUACGACCAAAAAACUUAUCCAAAAGUUUUUUGGCUCGAAGCUAAAAUUGCGAUGCAAUUUUUAACGCUUCUCGGGGUCUAUAGCUCAGUUGGUUAGAGCACCGUGUUGAUAACGCGGGGGUCAUAAGUUCAAGUCUUAUUAGACCCACCAAUAUAACCAGAGGACACCAAAAAACUUAUCCAAAAGUUUUUUGGCUCGAAGCUAAAAUUGCGAUGCAAUUUUUUAACGCUUCUCGGGGCCAUAGCUCAGUUGGUAGAGCGCCUGCCUUGCACGCAGGAGGUCAGGAGUUCGACUCUCCUUGGCUCCACCAAGCUGUUACAGCAAACAGGAUACUGACGACAGUAAAUUGUUUAGUGUAACAACACGAAUUUACCUGACGAAGGUAAAUUAACUCAAUAACAACAUAGAGAAAUGAGUCUGGGUUAAUGAUAUCCAACGAAUCAUUAACCACAAAGGCUACAGAUAGAACUGGACAUAGCGAUAUAGAAAGUUAGCACUGUAGCCAAGUAAAGAGAACUGAAUCAAGCGUAAACAAAGGUGGACGUUGUUACGACAUACGACCGAUUAGGGUUGUAUAGUCAAGUGAAUAAGUGCACACGGUGGAUGCCUUGGCAGUCAGAGGCGAAGAAAGACGUGACAGCCUGCGAAAAGCGUCGGGGAGGCGGCAAUAUCCUGUGAUCCGGCGAUAUCUGAAUGGGGAAACCCACUUGCCAGAAGGCAAGUAUCGUAACUAAUACGAAGCGAACCGGGAGAAGUGAAACAUCUCAGUACCCCGAGGAAAAGACAUCAAAAGAGAUUCCCCCAGUAGCGGCGAGCGAACGGGGAGGAGCCGACGAAUUUAGACGUAGAGGAAUCACCUGGAAAGGUGAAUCAUAGAGGGUGACAAUCCCGUACUCGAAACGUUUAGAUAAG
rnacentral:misc_RNA from 1 species